CCUACGGGAGGCAGCAGUGAGGAAUAUUGGUCAAUGGCCGAGAGGCUGAACCAGCCAAGUCGCGUGAGGGAAGACGGCCCUACGGGUUGUAAACCUCUUUUGUCGGGGAGCAAAGCGAACCACGUGUGGUUCAUUGAGAGUACCCGAAGAAAAAGCAUCGGCUAACUCCGUGCCAGCAGCCGCGGUAAUACGUAGGGGGCAAGCGUUAUCCGGAUUUACUGGGUGUAAAGGGGGCGCAGACGGCAAUGCAAGCCAGGAGUGAAAGCCCGGGGCCCAACCCCGGGACUGCUCUUGGAACUGCAUGGCUGGAGUACAGGAGGGGCAGGCGGAAUUCCUAGUGUAGCGGUGAAAUGCGUAGAUAUUAGGAGGAACACCAGUGGCGAAGGCGGCCUGCUGGACGGUGACUGACGCUGAGGCUCGAAAGCGUGGGGAGCAAACAGGAUUAGAUACCCUAGUAGUC
rnacentral:rRNA from 1 species